UUUCAUUUUUUAUUGGAUAUUUUAUUUAUUUACAUUUCAAAUGUUAUCCCCUUUCCUGAUUUUCCCUCUAGAAACCCCUAUCCCAUCCUCCCCUCUCCCUGCUUCUAUGAGGGUGUUCCCUCACCCACCUACCCACUCCCAUUUCCCUGGACGGGCAUUCCCCUACACUGGGGCAUUGAACCUUCACAAGAUCCAGGUCCUCUCCUCCCACUUAUGUCCGACAAGGCCAUCUCUGCUACAUAUGCGGCUGGAGCUAUGGGUCAUUCCAUGCGUACUCUUUGGUUGGUGGUUUAGUCCCUGGGAACUCUGGGGGGUGGGUGGGUGUCUGGUUGAUUGAUAUUGUUGUUCUUCCUAUGGGUUGCAAACCCCUUCAGCUCCUUCAGUCCUUUCUCUAACUUCUCUAUUGGGAACACCAUGCUCAGUCCAAUGGUUGGCUAAGAGCAUCUGCCUCUGUAUUUGUCAAGUUCUGGCAGAGCCUCUCAGGUGACAAUUUGGUUUUUUUGGACAUUCCUUUAUCUCAGGAACAGAGUAUAUAUUCAAAGUUUUAGAAUUUCUGCUAUUUCAAAAGUUGCAAAUCAGGACCUCACAUUUUAAUGUGCAUUCCUCUUACCAGUAGCAAAGUCAAAUAUCCUUAUUUUUAUGCAGAGUGUUCCCCCCUUUUAUAAUUGAAGUGGCAUACUCAGUCACUUAGUUUUUGAAGAGCCAUAUACUUGGAGUCUGUACACCAUAGCAUUUGCUAUGUUGAUGUAUAUUCUUUCUAUUCCUAGUUUCUUUAGGACUUCCUUCAUGAAGAGAUGUGAGACUUGUGAGGCCCUUUCUACACCUCUUGAGAUGACCAGUUUAUUUUAAUCCUUGAGCCAAUUAAUGUGAUGUUACAUUUAUUGAUUUGCUUGUGUAGAAACACCCUUGCAUUCAUGUCCAUUCAAGGAAAAACUUACCAUGCAUAAUCAGCAUUUAACCCAGGAAUCAAGGAUGGUUUGAUAAGAGAAAGUCUUUAAUACAAUCAAGUUGAUGUGCCAUUGGUAGUGAUCAAAAGCUCAUAAAAUACACCAUUUGAUCCUGGAAAGGCCUUUGUUAAGCAAUCUCUAAAAAUUUUGUAAUCCUUGGAGUUGAUGCAUUUUCACUUUUCCCCAGUAAAUUGUGAACAUUUAUUGUUUUUAUUACCAGUCAGGAAUUUAUGACAGGCUUUAAAAGCCCUUUGUGCUCUCUUAUGCCCCUUUAUUUUCCAAGCUAAUACUUUACAUAAUGGUCUUUCAAUAAGUAUUUUAAGGCACUAUUCUACUAGUGCUUAUUUUUUGAAAAUCAUGUUUCAGGGCAGAUCUUGCUUCAGGAGUCUUCCUUUUCUUAUGGUCAGUCUGAAGGAGUCUGUGUUCCCUUUGAGCAUGGAUUGCUUUUCUUGAUCAAAUGCUACUGAAAAUGGUUGUUUGUGCCUGCUUUAAGACUUGACAGUGGCUCUCCCAGCCACUUCCAUGGUGUAAUGACUUCAUCUUUGUAUGUCUGCCAGGUGACUAGUGUUCCAUGAAAGUCUGUCCCAGACUCAGGAUGCCUAUGCCUGAGCCCCUUUCCCCUUCCAUUGAGAACAACUCUUAACUCCUUUCUCUCUCUGCUCUCUACUCCAUGUCUCACACAUCCUUAAAUGAUCUUAAAUUUUCAUCUUUACAGCCUUAAUAGCCCGUGAUACCAGUCUCAGUCCUUUACAUGCACUGUUGUAAAAUCAGGGGCCCACUGAUUUUCUUUCCUUUCAUGCAUCCUUCAACUUGGAUGCUUCUCCAUGCUUAAAAUGUCAAAGGUUUCUGAUGGAAUGGCUUAUAAAAAUGGCUGCUUGACAUUUGAAGCGAUCUUGCUUGAUUUUCAUGAGUUCUUUCUGCCUACGUCUUCCCAAUGCCAUGCUGAACUUGUCCCUUGUGAGGUCACCGUGUGUGAUGUCAUUGCAUGUGUGUGCAUGGUGUCUGUUGAGCAGUUUUCUCUAUUUAGAGAAGUGGAGUCAUCAUUAAAACCUGUGCAUGAAAUUCCAAAGUCCUCCUAAUAGUUUUUGUCCAUUCUCUGAGGUCUCACCACACUCUGGGCUUGGAUGAUGUCAUUAUAUUUUCUCAUUGUAUGGCAGAUAUAGAACAAUUCCAGUUGGAGAACAUGAAGAAGUCAUUACAUUAUAACACUUUUUGGAGGAAGGCUCAAUUUCAUUCAGUUCAGUUUUUCUAUUUCUUGCAAAUGCUUAACAUAAUUGAUUUAUACUACAUAGUUUAAACUGGUGUUUUGAACCAAAUAUUGAUCACAAUAUAUACAUAAGCAAUAAACCUCUUUAAAUUUCAGACCUCUAAAUGUCAUUGAUUUGUCUUGUAAACCAGAGAUUUUAAAAUAUUCCUUUGUAUGAUGUUAAUAUCACUAAACCCAUCAAACAGAGCUCACAUAAAGAUAAUUGUGUGGGUCAUCUCAUUUAAUCUAGGAAGUAAUUUUUUGGUUUUCACAUUUCUACUAACAUAAAUUAUUUAACUAAAAUAUCACUUGAAGUAUAAUAAAGUUAUUACUAUGCUAGCCAUGAGAGACAAUGGUAAUUAAAUUGAAAGAUAAUGUUAAUGUCUAAUAAGGCAACUAUUUCCUUAGUUUUGAAGAUAUGAAAAUACUAUAUUGUUAUACUGUGUCAAAGUACCAGAAAUUUUUGCAACAGAUUGAAUGCUAUGAUAAAUAUCAUCUCUUUAUAGCCCUGGACAGUGUCAUUUUC
rnacentral:lncRNA from 1 species